rnacentral:lncRNA from 1 species
AAGUGUAGCAGUUAGCAAAGAAACUUGCUUGUUAUCAUGAAGUAUAAUUAUCAUCUUAGCAUCAAAGAAUCCUUCAGUGUUCAUAGUUUCAUAAGCUUGGCCUGCAGUCAUUGCCCCAUCUUCGAUCACCAAAAUGACGUUGUUGUUCUUGCAACUGCCAUGCCUACCAAUUUUUUUAAACCAGGAACAAAGAGGUAUGAGAGUUUCUUUCCACUAUUUUAUGUCUACACUUGUUACAUGAAAUGAGUUUGUGUUUAAGAUAACUUACCAAAACCAGCAUAUAUACUUGUAGAACUAUGCCCUAUCCCAAAAGUAUCAUAUAUCAAUAAAUUCUCUGUUCUUCUCUAUUGUAUAAUUUGCACACAAAAUUCUUACUGCAGUUCACUAUCACAUCAUCAAAUUCGGUUCUUGAAAAAAAGCUGUUCAAAAAAUUGCCCAAAAGACACAUUGUUACUUGGAAUUCAACGAUUUAUUCUCAUGACAGCCAUGCGAAGAGCAAAGAAGCCAUUGGGCUUACAGUGACAAGCUUGUGGGAUGUGUUUU